rnacentral:rRNA from 1 species
CAGUAGCCACGGGAAUACGAAGGGGGCUAGCGUUGCUCGGAAUUACUGGGCGUAAAGGGAGCGUAGGCGGAUCGUUAAGUUGGGGGUGAAAGCCCGGGGCUCAACCUCGGAACUGCCUUCAAUACUGGCGAUCUUGAGUAUGAGAGAGGUGUGUGGAACUCCGAGUGUAGAGGUGAAAUUCGUAGAUAUUCGGAAGAACACCAGUGGCGAAGGCGACACACUGGCUCAUUACUGACGCUGAGGCUCGAAAGCGUGGGGAGCAAACAGGAUUAGAUACCCCUGUAGUCCCUGUCUCUUAUAC